UAUGGCGGACGAUGACGAGAUUGACGUUUUGGGAGAUUUUUCAUUUAAUUCUUGUUUAGCGCAAAAUAAUCAAGGAAUCCCCUCUUGCUCAAGCCGAGAGGAUACGGUGCACCCACAGUGGCUACUAGACUCCACUGUCGCCAACUGGUAUGACAAUGAACGGGAAAAGAGGGCAAAAUAUGGUCCGUCUAGGAAACUGUCAGGGGACUCCAGGCUAAAACACCAGCGCGUGCGGCACUCCUCAUGGAGCCAGGCCGAGAGGGAUUUACUUAGCAAGGAAAUGGCCAAAUAUGGAAGGAAUUUUCAUAAAAUAUCCCAAACAAUAAAAACAAAGUCAGCAGCUGAAAUACAAGCAUUAAUAGAAGCGGAGUAUGGUGUCAAACUUGACGACCCUUCCGUCGGGCUCCCGAAGAAUGAAGAUCAGGAUGACAUCCCGAGUGUAGGGCAGGAAGAGAUUGUCACCGAUGACUCCAGCAUCCACAAUGUUCUGAGCCUGGUCACCACAGCCUCACCAACUAUUACGGUACCUAAGAAACCAUUCAGGAAGAAAAACAAUAACGUUACCCAAAAAAGUCUGAAACCUGCCUUACAGAAACCGGAACUCAUUGUAAAUCCAUCUGAAAUAUAUUAUGAAGAUGAACUUGUGAUAGGAUCCACAGAGUCUGUAGGAUCCCUGGAUCCAAAGGAAAACCAUGCAAAGUUAAAAACCAUGGCUAAACAACAGAAGGUAAAAGUAAAAGCUGUAAAGAAAAUUGGUAAUCACCGGAGGAAAGUGUCAAAGAACUUUGAUAAGGGUAGAGCUAGAACUAGCAGUAAAGAGCUCUUGAAGUCUCCUCAGGAGAGGCGGAGGAAGGAUUCAGGGGUGUCUGAGGAGAGUAUAAAGAGUCCUAAGUUGCAAAUUGUCUUGGGCUCGGGACAGGCGUUACAUGUUUCAGAAGGGGAGCAAGUGAUUAAAAUAGAGAAAAAGAAGGAUUCUGAAUCUGAUAGUGAUAUAGAAGUGGACAUAGACAGUGAUACUGAGAAGCCUAUCAAAACGGAAAAAAUUAAAGAUGAGUUGGCUGAGAAGGAUAGUGGCAGCGUGGUGUCUGAGUUGGAAGCUCCUGUAGCAGUGCCAUUGAAUAACUUUGGUCUGCCACCUAAGAGACAGAAGAAAAUUGUUUUGGACGGCGACGGCGGCUACACGAUCGCGCACACGGCGGCGGGCGACGUGCUGCAGCGCCGCGCGGAGCCCCGCCGGCCGCCGCGCGCGCGCGCCGAGCGGCUCCUCGCCUGCCGCCUCUACAACGCCGAGCGACCCGCGCCGUAUUCGGUGGUACUGUCAGUAUCGGCGCUGCUCCUGAUGGACGCGCACGCGCACGGGUCGCGCGCCGAGGUGAUGGGGCUGCUGGGCGGGCGCCGGCGCGGCGCCGAGCUGCAGCUGCGCGCCUACCGCGCCGCCGCCGCCGCCGCCGGCACCACGCACUGCGACAUGGACCCUGUGUCUCAAGCGGCGGCGGGCUUGUGGCUGCGCUCGCGGGGGCUGCGCGUGGCGGGCUGGCACCACUCGCACCCGCGCUUCCCGCCCGAGCCCUCGGCGCUCGACGUGCGCUCGCAGGCCGCGCUGCAGGCCUCGCUCGAGCCCUUCGCCGCGCUCGUCACGUCGCAACACUGGCCGGCCGGCCGCACCGCCUCUCAAUAUAAAUGCUUCCGCGUAGAGCACCCCGAAGCAGGCGAAACCGAGCCGCAGGGCUUCCAGCUCCGCGUGCGGCUGGAGCCCGACGUGACCGAGGCCUCCGCGGCCGACCUGCUGCGCGACAUGCGAGACCUAUUGGUAGAUCAGCCGCCCGACCCGCACCGGGUGCAGAUGGACCGGGACGUGUGUCCUCAGGCCAAGCUCACCUACUUGGAGAAGGUAACUAACACACACAACAAGCCUUCCAACUCCGCAUGCGUCUGGAGCCCGACGUGACCGAGGCCUCCGCGGCCGCCCUGCAGCGCGACAUGCGAGACCUAUUGGUAGAUCAGCCGCCCGACCCGCACCGGGUGCAGAUGGACCGGGACGUGUGUCCGCAGGCCAAGCUCACCUACUUGGAGAAGUGCGUAUCAAGCAUGUCACACCACCUGCGCGCGGCCGGUUACGCAGAACAGACGCCGGUCUUCACGCGGCUGACGGAGGGACUGCGGAACAUCUUCCGGUAGCCCAACUAUACUCUGUCAAACCAACCGUCAGUAGAAAAGAGUGCAAAACUAAAAAAUGUAGGCGCGAAGAGUUAUCGUUCCAUAGGUAAUUUAAAUUUCGCACCUUUUUCUACUGACAAACUUGUUUGACCGUCUAUAAAAAUAAAAUGAUAGCAACAUCGAAUACUUGUAUCAUAUUAUUCCAAGAUCAUUUUGACUAAUGGUAAUUUUGUGAUUUGUAUAUUUUGAUGAUUAUUGUGCAUCACAAUUGUAACAUAAUGUGAUUUAUUAUUUCAAAUUCCACAAUAUAUUUCAGUGAGUUUGUAUUGUUUUUACGUUUUCUAUAAUUUUAUAAAACACCUUUAUGCUUAGAACUAUAUCGGUACAUAUUUGUUUUGUAUUACUGACAGUAUUGAUUGAUUAGUUAUUGUAAAUAAAUGUCUAUAUUUGCUAUUAUAAUUUUUAUGCUAUUUGGUGCACAUGACAAUAAUACUUGUAAGAUGUUAAU